AUGCAGCUGGCGAGGAACGUCAAAGACCCCGACCCUCUCUGCUGGGCGCCGGAUCCUACCCCUUUUCGCCUUAAGCUCACGCGCGCGCGCGCACAUACAACCUCUCCAAAUUACCCGGGAGAAGUAGGAGAAACGCCUUCCUCUGCGCCGCGCAGGCCCCGGGCGCAGCUCGUUUACCUCCUCCCCUGCGGCCCGGAGGAGGAGAGAAGCGAGCAGGGCCGCGGGGGGGGGGGGGGGGAGAAUACAAAAGGAGAGAUGGGAGGAAAAAGAGGAGAAAAGUGGGGGAGAAAGGCAAGAGGGAGAAGGAGGAGGGGAGAGGAGCGAGAUGAGGAGUCGGAGCGAACGGGCGCGGGGGAGGGGAGGGAGCCGGGGUGGGCGCAGGCUGGGCGGAGGCUGAACACUGGCAGGUGGAGGAGCGCGGCGGCUCGAGGGACAAGCCUGCGGCCCGGCUCCCCCGCCCCUCCGCCGCCGGAAAGUUUGUUCCAGCCACAGGCCCCGCGCUCGUUGGGGCCGCGGCUGGCCAGCGUCGGAGGGUCCCCUGGCCCGCCCGUCUUUGUCCCCCGGAAUCUGGCUCUCCGCCCCCGCGUCCCCAGGACUCUGGCUAGAUCCAGGCUGCCCGCGCCCCGGCCUCGGCCAGGGUCUCGACCCCGGGGCGUCUCCGCCGCCUUCGGGCGCUGGGACGGGCCGGGUAGCGCCCCCUCGAGGCCAAGGUUCAGCUCCCCUCGGAACCCGCCGGGCAGCGCGCUCGGUCUGGCCCGGCCCUCGGCAGGCGGCGGGGGACGCCCCUCGGCAUGUCCUCCCGAGGCGAGGCGUGGCUGCCCCCCGCGCCCCGGCCGCCGCGUCCACGCGGGAGCGGGGGAGCCACGGCGAGGCGCCGGCACGAGCUGCAGCCGCCGCGCUCCGCUGGGGGUGGCGCUGGCGAGCCGCGGUUCAGCGCGCCGGGACGGCGGCCCGUGCCCCGCGCUCCGCCGCGACGCCGCCGGGCUGGGCCCGGCCAUCUGA
rnacentral:lncRNA from 1 species